CCUGGUGGUUUUUAUAUUAGGUCUAACCUGCUCAAUGAAUAAAUUAUUUAAAUGGCCGCAGUAUUUUGACUGUGCGAAGGUAGCAUAAUCAUUUGUCUUUUAAAUGAAGGCUUGUAUGAAUGGUUGGAUGAGGGAAUUGCUUUCUUUAUAUUAUUUUUUGAAUUUAAUUUUUUAGUCAAAAAGCUUAAAUUUAUAAGUGGGACGAGAAGACCCUAUAGAAUUUUAUUUAUAUUUGGUGAUUUAAUUUUUGGAUUAAUAUUUAAUUUUCAUUUAAUUUAAAUUUUGUUGGGGUGACAGUGAGAUUUAUCUAACUCUCAUAAUUUAUGUUUUAUUAAUUUAUAUAUAAAAGAUCCUAUUUUAUGGAUAUUUAGAUUAAAUUACCUUAGGGAUAACAGCGUUAUUUCUCUGGAGAGUUCUUAUCGAUAGAGGAGAUUGCGACCUCGAUGUUGGAUUAAAAUUAGAUUUAAGUGCAGAAGCUUAAUUUCUAGGUCUGUUCGACCUUUAAAAUUUUACA
rnacentral:rRNA from 1 species